UCGCACCGUCGCGACUUCGCUGUGCGUGCGGUAGCCGCCGGACGGCAGCCAUGGCGGCCUUGCGACCCCCGAGGAGGUUCCUCCUUCCUCUCUGCCGCGCCUUCUCCGGCGGCAGCUGCCAGCUCGUCCCCGAGCGCGGCGGUGAGCGCAGGGAUGCCGCGCCGAGCCGGGUCUCAAGAUUCUGCCCUCCAAGAAAAUCUUGCCAUGAUUGGAUAGGACCCCCAGAUAAAUAUUCAAACCUUCGACCUGUUCACUUCUACAUCCCUGAAAAUGAAUCACCAUUGGAACAAAAGUUAAGAGAAUUAAGACAAGAAACACAAGAAUGGAACCAACAGUUCUGGGCAAACCAGAAUUUGACUUUUCUUAAGGAAAAAGAAAAAUUUAUUGACUCAAGACUAAAAGCCAAAGGCCUGGAACUGAGAGCUGAAUCAGCUAAACCACAAACAGUUACAACCAAGACAUUUUAUCUCCCAUUUACGCACUCCCAUUGAAUCCUCCUCCAAUUGGCUGGCCGCUGAGCAGGCCCGUCCCACCUGCCGCCCUGACCGCGACUCGGUUUGUCUCAGAGCAGCCUUAUGAGGUGUGCUGUUGUGAUCUGCGUCCUGGAGCCCGGAGAAACCACAGCCCGGCCACAGGGCCGGCGAGGGACGGAAGCGCGGCCCGUGGAACCGCUGCCUGCGGGGCCAGGAGGACACAGCCCACCUGCUCAGCUCCUCUCGUCAGUGUGAGAGGCAGGGGAGGCCGGCUGGAGGGUGCACACACGCCUCUCCCUGGAGGACCGGCGGAACCUGCUUGCAGCUUAGGAGACGCCGUGCUCUGGGGCCAGCAUGCUGGCCCCGCUCCCUGAAGCGAGAGCUCUGUUUGUGGCGCCCUCAUCGCGCUCCAGCCCUGCCUGCCCCUCUCCUCCCUCACUCUGUUCAGCCAUGUCUCUGCCUCUCCACACCCUUCAUUUGCUCUGCCCAUGCUGCUCCCCUUCUCCGCCCUGUGGAAUCCUAGCUGGCUGUCACCUUCCCUGGGAGCCUUCGGCUUCCCUCCCCGCCACAGGCAGCUGGUUGUCCCUCUCUUUCCCCGAUCGGCAUCCACCCCUUGAUUGAUUCCAGGUAUUUAUUGAACACCUGCCACAUCCCAGGCUAGUCCUGGGGACCAGCUGGGGACGAGACAGAGCCACGGCCUCGCCUUUGUGGAGCAGACCUCCUUGCGUGGGCCGGGAGGGUGACCAGCAGACAAGCAGCUCGGUGAACGCACUCUGCACUCCCGGGGUGUCGACCGCGGGGGAGAAAGAAGCCGGGGGGAGGGGAGGAGCGGCGUUUUCGCAGAGUGGGGGCAUCGGGGGAGGUUGGGAGAGGGUCUUGCAGAUGGAGGUCUCGAGGGCCAGCAGGAGGCCGGGUCAGAGGAGUGAGGACACGUGGAAUCGACUGCUCUUCACUCAGGCGCUGGGGGUCCAGGUCAAAAAGCAACAUUGAAUGCAGAAGAAAUGGCUGACUUUUACAAGGAAUUUUUAAGUAAAAAUUUUCAGAAGCACAUGUAUUACAACAGGUAGAAGUUGCUAUCAGCUUAGUGUUUGCACUUUUAAAUAAAAAUGACAGCUUCAAGUUACUUGCAUGGCAGCCCUAAAGCAGCUUGCACCCCUAGUGCGUAGACAGUGGGUUCUACACAGCACUUCCCGCUGAAAGGAGCCUGGACUCCACGGAGAAGCACAGUCUGGGGCAGGAGCAGCACGAGAGGAGUCGAGACAUCUUGUGUUUGAAAGAGAGGAAGCUCGGAGCCCAGCGGGGUCGUGUGAGAACAGCACAGAAGGCGAUUCACGGGGCUCCUGUAGGCCAGAGGCGAAGCCAUUGCAGCCACACAAAGAAAAUGACGGCUGUGGAUUAAAAAUCUAUCAAAUACACUAACAUCUUUGCGAUCAUAAUGACACUGAGCGGCUCACAGGCAUCGCGGGGUAUUGCUAGGCAGCCAACCCAUUGUUCUGAAAAUCCAUUAGGGAAGGAGCGCCUCCAAAGAACAGUCACCUCUCCUGCCUUUCCUGCACCGACUGGAUUCCAGGGUAGCCAAACGAAGGAGCAUUUUUCUUGGUAGAAGAAUGACAGCUGACGCGGGAGUGCUGGAGUUAGAUCUGGGCCUCAUCACCCCGCAGCUGCUAACCGCUCGGCAGCAGGGCUGAUGGGCACUUCGUAAUGGACGGGUUGGGCUGAUCGCACGUGAACCCCUGGUUCCUCUUCGCACCGUGCGGAGUGGGGCAGCGGCCUGCCUGCACCUCUGUGAGGUGUCCUCACCAAACAAGGGGACUGCAGUCUGGCAGUCCUCCGGGUCUAAUACCAGGUUACAGGAACAAGAUAAAAGGGUGUGUUGGGGGGGUGGAGAGAGCAGGUCACAGACUGUGCUUAAAUCGUAGCCUGAAGAUACAGUCCCAGAUGUUGGAAAUUCUGAAAGACAGACGAUCCAGUUUCAACCAGUAACUAGGAUUAAAAAAAAAAAAAAAGGACAGCUUAAAGUUAUUUGCAUGGCAGCCCUAAAGCAGCUUGCACCCCUAGUGCGUAGACAGUGGGUUCUACACAGGGGGAGCUAAUAUUAUAGGAUAAAAGAGGCUUCAUGCAGUGUGUAGACAAUGUUUGGAUCCUAAUACAGACAAACCACCUAUAAAAAGGUAUUUUUGACAAUCAGUCAAAGAAAACUGAACAGUGACUGUAUAUUAGGUUGUAUAGAUAAGUUAUUGUUCACUUUAUCAGAUACAAUGAUGGUAUUGUGGUUAGGUGUUUUUAAAAAAGGUUUUGACGAUACAUAGUGAUGUGUAUUCCUAGGUGUGACGAUAGGACGUGGCGUUUGAGAUUUGCUGUGACAUUCAUAGGGCAAUGGCCACGCCGGAUGGGCGGGUGGGGCAGGGUCUAGACAGUGGGGUGAUCGUCGAGUCUGGAGGAGCUCUUGAGUGACACUCAGGCAUAAAGCCCAGUCCUGCAGCGUCCAGAGUCUGUUGCUAAUGCUGUCAUGUGUCACUCUGAACUAGCUGAGUUAUUCAGUCAAGCCAGUAUUAGUUAGAUUUCCCUGGACCUUUGAUUUCUGGCGUGGACACGGCAUGUUUGCAUCUUGCUUCCUCUCCGGUGAGCUUGAUGUUUUCCGUGUGGCACUCAGAGUAGAGAGAGGGUCGGACAGCAGUGGAGCCUGCGCGCUCCCCCUCUGUGCCCGCACCACCUCCUGCCCCUGCUUUCCUUAUGGAAGCGGGAACAGCUUAGUUUAUCUUUUCCACUCUCCCAGUUCAGGUUGUCUGUAUCGGUGGAGUGGAAUCUGACUUUUCCCUAGUAACCUAAGAACUUUAAUCUCGGUGGGAUACCAGUUUUCUUUUUUCUGGAAGCCUUUUUUAUUUAUUUAGGGCAUUGCUUCCCAUUUAUAGCAUCAUUGAAGUGGAUAGAAAUGUAAGAUCGUCCUCGUGUGGAGAGGGGUUUUCUGUCCAGCUGUGCAAAGGCUCCAGGAAACGGGCAUUUUUGCCUCUUGCUACUGCUUCACUCAAGCCCUUGGUUAUUCUCCAUUCUUCUAUGCUGAGAUCCAGUCAACCAUUUGAGUCCAGUCUGGAAUAGCAGUUCCAUGUUCCCUCAUUAGCUCAUUUGGACGAAAAGCACUGAUACUUGCUGGCAUUUCAGCUUCCAGGGGCUCAGCACUGAGAGUCUGGAAUGUGUGCUUUCCAUUGUGGAAACUUGCCAAGUUUUGCCCAUUCAGCUGCUGACAAUGUGAAUUUGCAAGUUCUGACAUGUUCUGUAGAGUAAUUCACAGGCAAGUGAGCCUAUGACAGCAUGUAACUCCAUCCCAGUAUUUGUAUGAGAAGUUCUGGAAUAUCCCUUUCGAGACACAAGUUACCCAGAAGUUCAGAUCAUCAAGAAAAAGAAGAUACGAAACUUGAUGAUGUUGGCACUUGCGAUAAGUUAGCUUCUCAAGAUGGAGUACUUUUGUCAUGUGCUUCUUAUGCAAUUAAGGUGCCAAAGCCUGGAGGGUCCCCACUGAGUUCUUGCAGAGCCUCCAGUCCUUUUCUGAGAGGUUGCGCCCCCAUCGCUCUACAGUUGUGUCUCCGAGAGAAUGCCGCUGGGCUCUGGGGGCCCCCAGGCUUCCGAGAGCUCUUUCUGUGUCUUCUAGCAAAAACUGAGGAAGGCUGCAGCAGCUUCCAGGAGUGGGAAAAGCGGGGUCGGGGUGCCCUGGGCACAUCAGCCUGAUGAAAAUCCAGGUGGAAGGCAGGCAGGCUUUUAUGGGCAGUCUAGCUUUAAAGAGGGCGGGGAAUGGCAGAGAUGGUGGGGAAGGGUGGAAGAGGAGACAGUCGGAUGCCUGAGCGUGGGUCACGUGUGCUUGUGCUGUUCUUCUUCAGGGACUGGUACAAGCGUAAUUUUGCCAUCACCUUCUUCAUGGGAAAAGUGGCCCUGGAGAGGAUUUGGAACAAGCUUAGACUGAAACGAAAGAAGACCAGCAAUUAGGAGCCCACCCUGA